rnacentral:lncRNA from 1 species
UCACAUGUGUGCGAGUAAUCUCAUCCCGUUGCCUAUAUAUACUUGCAUAAACCAUUCCCCUAAUCUCAUGUUAUCGAGUCGUCAUCGUCGUCGUCAUCCGUCUACCUGGGCAAUCUCAACAGUUGAGUGUGCGAGCGAGCAUAAUAGAUAGAUAGAUACCAAUGGCGGAGAUGGGAGCAGAGGCGGCGGUGCAUUACCGAGGGGUGAGGAAGAGGAAGUGGGGGAAGUGGGUGUCGGAGAUCAGGGAGCCCGGGAAGAAGAGCAGGAUCUGGCUGGGGAGCUUCGAGUCAGCGGAGAUGGCGGCGGUGGCACACGACGUGGCGGCGCUGCGACUC